UGCGCGACGAAGUUAUUGUUUCGUCGCGCAAAGGUGUGUCGUGCAAAGCUACUUUGCGCGACGAAACAAUAACUUUGUCGCGCA
rnacentral:miRNA from 1 species